rnacentral:tmRNA from 1 species
GGGGCUGUUUUUGGAUUCGACAAAGUUAUCAAAAAAGUAAAGUGCAUGCCGAGGAACGGUUUGCCUCGAUAAAAAACCGUAAAAAAAUAGCUGCAAAUAAUAAACAAAACUACGCUUUAGCAGCUUAAAAAACUGUAUAAAGCCCUUUCAUCUCUGACUUCUCUCUUGAGAACGAGAAAUUUUUAAGAAAGGCCGAC